AGGAUUCUGAAGCUCAUGUAAUGUAAUGAUAGAUGAAAAUCCCCAGGCCUCCUCAUUUGCAUUGAACUUGUGAUUAGAUUCUGGCAAAGGAUAAUGAAAAGACCAUUGUAUUGGUGAUGUUGAUCACAAAGAUAAGUGCCACCAUUAUAUUGCAACAUUAUAAAUAUAAUAGUAAUAAUUAUUAUUAUUAUUAUUAUUAUAAUUUCCCUUAAAAAAAAUUAUUAUUAUUAUUAUUUAUAAAAUUUUAGUUGGAAAAAGGUUACAAAAUUUUUGGGAUACCAAUUAUUUACGAGGAAAGAUUAACUCAAAAUAUAAAAGACUAUGUCCAGGACAAGCUGCUUGAACAAUAUUUUGAUUCUGCCAAUUUGAUCUAACAAAUCGUACAAUAAAUAAAUUUUUACAUAUUGUUGAAAUGCAUCAGUUGAGAGUGCAAUUUUUUUUAUUUUUUAUUAAUUUUCAAGAAAAUAUUGAGCUUUCCAUGCAUUAUUUAAGUUAAGAAAACAAGUGUGAAACCUUUCAUUUAGAAGAUGCCUUAGGCUCUGCUCUUUAAUGGAAUGGAAUUUCAGUUUUCCAUCUAACAUAGGAUGUUUCUCCGUGACUUUUUUGAUAUCAUCCAUCACUUUCUUUCUUGCAGAAUUUUCAUCUUGUUACUGCGAAAAUGAUGUAUGCUCCUUAACUAGAUCCAAAUAAAAAAGUUAGGAACAUAAAAAAUGAUUCAAAUUAAAUCAGACGUCAUCACACAAAGUCAAAAUUGAUGUUUUGUAAAAGGGGUACAUAUAGGGGGUCAUUUUUGCCAUUUUUUUCAAUAGGGGAUCAAAAUUGCAACCUUUGCAAACUUAAGAGGGAAAAGUGCUUUUAAGCCUAUUAUUAAUUGUAAUAUUCAGUUAUAAGGCGCAAUGGAAGACAAUGGAGACCUCAGCUGUUACUUUACCAACUGAAUCUGGGUCAUCAUGGCAAGAAAACACGUUAAUCAAAUAAAUUACACUCGAAGCAUCGAUCGCCAACCACGAAACAAAGGACAGAGAAAAGAUCAUCCACAACAAAAGCAUGAGAAAGGUUUUACUGCAGUUCCAACAAAAGCAAAAGUAUUAAAAAAAACUAGAAAAUUAUUUGAUUAAUAGAUGAAAAAUAGGAGAAGCAGCGCAUAGUGGAAUCAUAUGCAUACCUGUAGUUAAAGAAUGGUGGAUCCAUCGAUCGAAUUGGCAAAGGAAGCUAUGGCAAAGAGAAGAACUUUGAACCCUAUUGAGUUCUAAAACGAACUUUGAAUAUAGAAUCCUAUAUUCACAUGUUUUGUUUAACCGCAUCCAUUUU
rnacentral:lncRNA from 1 species